ensembl:snoRNA small nucleolar RNA SNORD88
GCUCUCCCGUGAUGACGUGCACUGGGCUCUGAGACUGCGUGGAGACAGACGUGCAUCUCUGGCCCUGACAAGCCGGAGCUUCUGAGGAGAGA